UGGGGAAUUUUGGACAAUGGGGGCAACCCUGAUCCAGCCAUGCCGCGUGAGUGAAGAAGGCCUUCGGGUUGUAAAGCUCUUUCAGCCGGGAAGAAAACGCAUGGGUUAAUACCCUGUGUGGAUGACGGUACCGGAAUAAGAAGCACCUGCUAACUACGUGCCAGCAGCCGCGGUAAUACGUAGGGUGCGAGCGUUAAUCGGAAUUACUGGGCGUAAAGCGUGCGCAGGCGGUUUUGUAAGACAGGCGUGAAAUCCCCGGGAUCAACCUGGGAACAGCGUUUGUGACUGCAAGGCUAGAGUAUGGCAGAGGGGGGUGGAAUUCCACGUGUAGCAGUGAGAUGCGUAGAGAUGUAGAGGAACACCGAUGGCGAAGGCAGACCACUGGGCCAAUACUGACGCUCAUGCACGAAAGCGUGGGUAGCAAACA
rnacentral:rRNA from 1 species